rnacentral:rRNA from 1 species
GUCCACGCUGUAAACGAUGGAUGCUAGCUGUCGCGGGUUUUACCCCUGCGGCGGCGUAGCUAACGCGAUAAGCAUCCCGCCUGGGGAGUACGGCCGCAAGGCUAAAACUCAAAGGAAUUGACGGGGGCCCGCACAAGCGGUGGAGUAUGUGGUUUAAUUCGACGCAACGCGCAGAACCUUACCCAGACUUGACAUCCCGAGAACCUGCCGGAAAUGGUGGGGUGCCCGCAAGGGGAGCUCGGAGACAGGUGCUGCAUGGCUGUCGU